rnacentral:rRNA from 1 species
AUUGAACGCUGGCGGCAGGCCUAACACAUGCAAGUCGAGCGAGCGGCGGACGGGUGAGUAAUGUCUGUGAAACUGCCUCAUGUAGGGGGAUAACUACUGGAAACGGUAGCUAAUACCGCAUACCAUCUGAUGUGCCCAGAUGGGCUUAGCUAGUAGGUGGGGUAACGGCUCACCUAGGCGACGCUCCCUAGCUGGUCUGAGAGGAUGACCAGCCACACGGGAACGGAGACAGGGUCCAGACUCCUACGGGAGGCAGCAGUGGGGAAUAUUGCAUAAUGGGCGCAAGGCGGAUGCAGCCAUGCCGCGUGUGGGAAGAAGGCCUUCGGGUUGUAAAGCACUUUCAGCGGGGAGGCGUUACCCGCAGAAGAAGCACCGGCUAACUCCGUGCCAGCAGCCGCGGUAAUAC